UACAGAGGGGGCAAGCGUUAUUCGGAAUUAUUGGGCGUAAAGGGCGCGUAGGCGGCCUUUCAAGUGACGGGUGAAAUCCCUCGGCUUAACCGAGGAACUGCCUGUCAGACUGGGAGGCUUGAGACCGGAAGAGGUGAGUGGAAUUCCCAGUGUAGCGGUGAAAUGCGUAGAUAUUGGGAGGAACACCAGUGGCGAAGGCGGCUCACUGGACCGGAACUGACGCUGAGGCGCGAAAGCGUGGGGAGCAAACAGG
rnacentral:rRNA from 1 species